rnacentral:rRNA from 1 species
UAGGGAAUAUUGGACAAUGGACGCAAGUCUGAUCCAGCCAUCCCGCGUGAAGGAUUAAGGCCCUCUGGGUUGUAAACUUCUUUUCUCUGGGAAUAAAAACUCCGAUUCUUCGGAGCCUGAAGGUACCAGAGGAAUAAGCACCGGCUAACUCCGUGCCAGCAGCCGCGGUAAUACGGAGGGUGCAAGCGUUAUCCGGAUUCACUGGGUUUAAAGGGUGCGUAGGUGGCUUUGUAAGUCAGUGGUGAAAGCCUAGAGCUCAACUCUAGAACUGCCAUUGAUACUGCUUAGCUUGAAUCAGGUCGAGGUGGAUGGAAUAUGACAUGUAGCGGUGAAAUGCUUAGAUAUGUUAUAGAACACCGAUUGCGAAGGCAGUUCACUAGACCUGUAUUGACACUGAGGCACGAAAGCGUGGGGAUCAAACA